AAGUGUGUGUGUGUACAGGUAACCGCUCCCCUCAGGCGGGCAGAGCAGAGCGAGCUGAGCGGGAGAGGAAGGUGGCCAUGAGGCUGCAUCGUGGAGCUCCAGCCAACGUCUCCUCCUCCGACGUCACUGCACGCCUCGAGCAGUCUCGCUUAGCUGCCUCACAGGUCAGUGUGCCCUUUGAACAUCUGGCAAAAUGAAUUCCUCCUGGCCUGCAGGUCAGUGGCAGCAGCUGCAGGGUGUUAAAUAGCCCUUAAUUUUCGAGUGGAUGAAUGAAGAGAUGAAUGAGUUUCUGAGGACCAGAGGAGCAGCAGGAGGCGUUUCGGGCCUUUAAAGAGGGAGUGGAGGCCGUUCGUGUGUCUGUCAGUGUGCUGUGUGACCAGGAAGAGCCGGAGAAACACUGAGAUGUUAAAAAAAGCGGGACACACAAAAAAACUCUUCGCUGGAUCUGAUUGGUUCUGCUUUUUUCCGGGUUGUGGCCGCAGCAGGAAGUGGGUCAAACAGGCCCCGCCCUCUUCUUCACUCAUCUUCACCUGCCCAUCGACUCGAGGCUCAACUUGCAAAAAAAUCCAUCAAAGUGCACAAAACGGACUAAAUUGAAGUUAUUCUGUGGUUUACACCUGUGAUAAAAAAAUGUAAAAUCAGCUAUAAAACCUGCUAAUGUUUAAGAGCUCCAUCCGCUGCUUAUGGUGUUCUUGAUUAUAAACAAAUAUGUAAAAAACUAUGGAGACAAACAGUGUAUUCAGGCUCAACACAGAUGGAUCAAAGAGCGUGUGAGAGGCUGCUUUUCGUCAAUAUGUGUCGGUGUCUGUCUGUGUUACUGUCUUAAGUGUUCGUUUUAGUUUGCUUUAGAAAGCCUAAAGGAUGGAGGAGAUUAGAGUGACUGUGGAUGAAUUACAACAGAAGAAUAGUCCCAAUUCAAAUGGAAAGGGAGAGCCAUGAGGAUUGUACGAUAUGAUAAAGCCUGUAGCGUGCCAUGUAUGAAAAGACGAGAGAAAGUUUUAACAUAUUCAAUGGUGAACAAGUUUGUAUUAUUGUUUUUUAGUUGUUUUUCAUUUUUUACUACAUGUAUAAUGUGUAGAUACCUCAAAAUGACUACAAAGAGAUGUAAGAAAGGGCCAAAAAUCAUCCAAUACUUCUACAAAAAGACACAAAAUGACCACAAAACGACUCCAACCUAUAGGCUACACAAGGAGCAAAACGACCACAGACAAAACAUAAUUUGAGAAAGUUAUAAAAUUAACUAUUUUUUAUUAUAGUUUUUUACUUUAGCUUAUUUUAUUUCACACACACGUACACACACACACACAC